GACGAACGCUGGCGGCGUGCUUAACACAUGCAAGUCGAACGGAAAGGCCCUGCUUUUGUGGGGUGCUCGAGUGGCGAACGGGUGAGUAACACGUGAGUAACCUGCCCUUGACUUUGGGAUAACUUCAGGAAACUGGGGCUAAUACCGGAUAGGAGCUCCUGCUGCAUGGUGGGGGUUGGAAAGUUUCGGCGGUUGGGGAUGGACUCGCGGCUUAUCAGCUUGUUGGUGGGGUAGUGGCUUACCAAGGCUUUGACGGGUAGCCGGCCUGAGAGGGUGGCCGGCCACAUUGGGACUGAGAUACGGCCCAGACUCCUACGGGAGGCAGCAGUGGGGAAUAUUGCACAAUGGGCGGAAGCCUGAUGCAGCAACGCCGCGUGCGGGAUGACGGCCUUCGGGUUGUAAACCGCUUUCGCCUGUGACGAAGCGUGAGUGACGGUAAUGGGUAAGAAGCACCGGCUAACUACGUG
rnacentral:rRNA from 1 species